rnacentral:rRNA from 1 species
AGUGAACGCUGGCGGUAGGCCUAACACAUGCAAGUCGAACGGCAGCACAGUAAGAGCUUGCUCUUACGGGUGGCGAGUGGCGGACGGGUGAGGAAUACAUCGGAAUUUACUUUUUCGUGGGGGAUAACGUAGGGAAACUUACGCUAAUACCGCAUACGACCUACGGGUGAAAGCAGGGGAUCUUCGGACCUUGCGCGAUUGAAUGAGCCGAUGUCGGAUUAGCUAGUUGGCGGGGUAAAGGCCCACCAAGGCGACGAUCCGUAGCUGGUCCGAGAGGAUGAUCAGCCACACUGGAACUGAGACACGGUCCAGACUCCUACGGGAGGCAGCAGUGGGGAAUAUUGGACAAUGGGCGCAAGCCUGAUCCAGCCAUACCGCGUGGGUGAAGAAGGCCUUCGGGUUGUAAAGCCCUUUUGUUGGGAAAGAAAAGCAGCAGGUUAAUACCCCGCUGUUCUGACGGUACCCAAAGAAUAAGCACCGGCUAACUUCGUG